rnacentral:tRNA from 1 species
AGGGAGACCUACCCACUUUAGAGUCGAACGCACAGUGCAAAUAGAUUCAAAGUCGGUCAUCCCAAGGUCGUUCGGAUUACAGAUAGGCUUCCAAACUAUACUGGUUCGGUUUAUGGGCUAUUAGCUCAGGUGGUUAGAGCGCACCCCUGAUAAGGGUGAGGUCCCUGGUUCGAGUCCAGGAUGGCCCACCUUUGAAAAAGGGAAAAGCGAAGAAUGAAGAGGUAAAAGAGAUAAGAGCAAGCAAAGCCUCUGUAACGAAGUCUACGAAACCUUUUCUGUAACGAAGUCUGUUCUGUAACGGGUCUUUAAGUUUUGCUUGGAGCCUUAAGAACUGUUUAGGUUGCACUAGGUUUCAGCUUUUGCUCUAGUUCUUUUAUUAUUAUUUCUUCGUUCUUCAAUUCUCUGAUUUUCGUAUGGGGGUUUAGCUCAGUUGGUAGAGCGCCUGCUUUGCAAGCAGGAUGUCAGCGGUUCGAGUCCGCUAACCUCCACUGAGGAAUCUUGAAUCCUCAUGAGGCGAUAGCUAGUUAACUUGCUUAGAAUGCAGCUUGCUUAGCAGGCAGUUUGUUUAGUAGUCCGCUUACUUAGUUCAGCAACUUAUCUUGUUCACCGAGUUAAGGAAGACCAAGAGAGCCUGCUGGAUUAAACCAGCCAGAACCUUGAAAACUGCAUAGAAAAUUGUCAGGUAGCAGACAGCGAAAGUUGGCGGAAGAAUAACAGCCUGCUGUCAAUUAAAGCUGUCACUAUCACAGACACCAAUGUAAGCAAGACGAAAGCGAAAAAGUGGUCAAGCUACAAAGGGCUGAUGGUGGAUACCUAGGCACACAGAGGCGAAGAAGGA